UGCAAACGGAUAGUACUUGUGAUUCUGGCCCUUGAUUAAAUUUAAUGCCACAACACGUUCGCCAGUGUGAUAUCCAUCGAGAACGGCCAUCUCCUCGGCAGUUAACUCAAAAUCGAAGAUAUCUAAGUUUUCCGAAAUUCGGAUCGGAAGUGUGUUUUGUAAUGCGUAUUUGGAGAUCAGUAUAUGAGUACUUUAGAGCCUCACAUGUGUAUUUAAGCGAAACCAUUGUAAGAAAUUCAGAAAGUCGGGAAAUGAAAUUAAUGCAUCCUCAGAUUCUCCGGCCCAGAUUGAAAGACCCCAUUUGGAGCAACUCCUCUUGGGUCAAGUGGAAAUCAAAGACAUCGAGAUUCUCGAUAAGGUGAACCUGCUGGGCAGCUUUUGGAAUCGGCACGGUGCCAAUGUCGAUCUGUGAAACGGUUGUAUUUUUCAACUAUUAAAUGUUUUCUCUACUUUAA